AGUGAACGCUGGCGGUAGGCCUAACACAUGCAAGUCGAACGGCAGCACAGGAGAGCUUGCUCUCUGGGUGGCGAGUGGCGGGCGGGUGAGGAAUACAUCGGAAUCUACUCUGUCGUGGGGGAUAACGUAGGGAAACUUACGCUAAUACCGCAUACGACCUACGGGUGAAAGCAGGGGACCUUCGGGCCUUGCGCGAUUGAAUGAGCCGAUGUCGGAUUAGCUAGUUGGCGGGGUAAAGGCCAACCAAGGCGACGAUCCGUAGCUGGUCUGAGAGGAUGAUCAGCCACACGGGAACUGAGACACGGCCCAGACUCCUACGGGAGGCAGCAUUGGGGAAUAUUGGACAAUGGGCGCAAGCCUGAUCCAGCCAUACCGCGUGGGUGAAGAAGGCCUUCGGGUUGUAAAGCCCUUUUGUUGGGAAAGAAAUCCAGCUGGCUAAUACCCGGUUGGGAUGACGGUACCCAAAGAAUAAGCACCGGCUAACUUCGUGCCAGCCGCCGCAGUAA
rnacentral:rRNA from 1 species